GUGAUCAAUGGCAAUCAAAUUGCAAAGGAGGAUCCGGUGUUGUUGGUUCCUGAGCAAAAAAGUCAAAAACCAUCUGUUGCAAUUAUUAAGGACAUUUUUCGAACAAAAGAUGGAAGCAUGCUGUUUGUUUCUGGGGAUAUUUUGUUUCGAUACUAAUCCUUGGGAAGAUUGUCUCCGCUUCAACGAGGUAUUUCUCUUUCUUUCUCGUUUUUGUUUUCUUUAAAACCCUAAAAAUAUCUAAUACACAAAAAUACA